AUGUCUUCAUGCCCAGUGGUAUCCGCUUCCAUGCCGCCGAGCCUCCUCAAUUGCUAUGCUAUAGCUGACUCAGGAAUGCAUUCAGGCUGUUGUUGCUAACUUGAGAGAGCCCAUGAAAUUUCUUCAGACGAUGAAACAAAUGCCGAGGUUCUCAGGUUUAUUGAUGUUGGCAUAGUCUGUUGUGGUAAUUUCCUGCGGAUGCGAGCUCGGCAAGUAUUGGCUGGUGCUGGAGACAUACAUCAUAUGCCUACAAAACUA